rnacentral:lncRNA from 1 species
CGAAAACACAAAUUCGGAGUCAUCUUCUCCACCGAAAUAAAAGCCAUCAACACCAUAAAAAACGCCUCUGUAUUCCUCCUUUCAAAAUAGCUCCAAAGCUUAUCAAAAUUAGCUAAAAACACAGCUGAAAUUACUCCCUAAAAGUAGCUCAAUAACAGCCCAAGUUCCCCUAAAACAUCCUGAAAUCAAGCCCCAAAAUAACCCUCAAAUUCGUUCAAAUAUCAUCAUAUUUAGCCAACAAAAUCUGCUAAUUGCAGCUGGAAAUCACCCAGCAAAACAGGGUCAAAUCAGUCCCAAAGCCAUCGCUAAAGUGAGGUGAUGUUCGAGUUCACUGGUUCGAGGUUCUAGUUGAUAGUUCGUUGAAAGAUUUUGCUUCUGGAGCUUUGGGUUCAUUGUACAUAGUUGAGAAGAAUUUCAGGAAUAAAGGUCCAUUUCAGGUUUCCCUUCAAUUUAUGUCAUUUUCUGUUCGAAAUUUUGUUAAGUAUUCUCGUUGGGUGCUUUGUAUGCUUCAUCUGCUUAUACAUUGUGUCAAUGUCAAAUUUAUUUUAGUUGGCUUCCUUCACUUGAAUACUUUGUUUAUUUCUCGGGUCAAUUUCUUCAUUUUUGUGAUUAUGAAGAGUAUUUUUUUUUAUUUAAUUUAGUUAACAUAUUAAUGGUUUUUUAUUAACACUUAGUUUAAGGCUUUAAAGUCUAUUUCUCUGUAAAUAGGUGAUGUGUGUAAAUAGAGCAAGCCAAGGAUGAUUCAGUUCACUUAUUGUUGUGAUUAAUUGCUAGCAUUGUUAAUUAGAAAUCACGUUACAUAUAGGUUAUUUCCACUUGUGGACACAUAAUAGAUAAUCUUUUUUAGUCCAAAAAUUAUUUGACCUUUUGUUUACCUUGUAAGUCACUUGGAUUGUACCCAAAUUGGGCCCUUGUCAGUGAAAGACUUCUAGUUCAUUUAAAUAACAGAACAAUUGUUGGUAAGUAAUCAAGUAAUCGGGUUGCAUCUCAUGUGACUCGAUUAUAAUAAUUUUGAACAAUAAAAUCUUUAGAAAGAAAUUGAGGCGUGCCAUGCCAAAUAAUGUCAUAAAUUGCAUGGUCCUCACUUAAUUGACUUUCCACCCUUAAAAUUCAAGGCGUGCCAUUUAGUUGAAUUUUCAUGGCCCUCACAAAUUUAAAAAUGCGCGUUAUUUUAAUAACUUAUCUUCCUAAAUUCGGGUGCGCAUUUAUGUGACCUAAAUUCAAAUCUCAACAAAGUUAAAAUAUGUCGAAAAUUGUGGGUGCAUUUAUGUGACAUGGUUCAAGACAUGUUUUAAUAACGUUGCAAUAUUCCUAAAAAUGAAGAAAGCAGUUAAAAUUAAAAAUGCCCAUAAGCUAAAACAUGUAUUCAAAUCAGAUAGAUGACCAAUAGUAAUAGUUUAAGCGACCGUGCUAGAACCUCGGAAUUCGGGGGUGCCUAACAUCUUCCCUCGGGUUAACAGAAUUCCUUAUUCAAAAUUUCUAGUUCGCAGACUUCAAAAGGAAAGUUGAAUUUUCCUCGAUUUUGGAUUUAUAAUAAAUUGGUGACUUGGGACACCAAAUAAAUUAUCCCGAGUGGCGACUCUGAAUAGAAAGAAAUAAAUAAUCUCAUUUCGAAUAAUGUCACUUUAAUUGGAAAAACUCUCUUAUGCAUUUUAUCCUUCGGGGUAGCCGUGUAAAAAAGGCGUGACAAGAAUUUAUUCAUUUAGCAUUUAUUGAUAUAGAUAACUUGUGACUAUAUACGAGUGAAUUGAUGGUGGAAUCAAGAGAUAAAGCGGUAGUUGAGGCCUAAAUUAUGUUCGUGGCUUCAAGGUAAGUGUUUGGCCUAUCCUUAGCUUGAGGGAUUAGGAGUUGUAUCUAUUUUUCUAUAUGUUAAUUGUUGAGUACGAUGUAUAGGCAUGUCGACGAGUAUUGAUACAUCGGUUUCAAGCAUAACUGUGCGUCUCGUUUAGUAAUUGUCGUGACUCCAUUUUGAUUUGUUCAUGACAAAUAUAUCGAUUACCAUUGUUGGUUCCCUUGUCGGGAUGUUAUUGUGUAUGAUAUUGUCUCCUUUGUCGGUAUGUUAUUGUUAUGACAUUAUCUCCCUUGCCGGGAGGUUAUUGUUUACGAUAUUGUCUCCCUUGCAGGGAUGUAAUGGUUACACUCUUAUUCCCUUGACGGGAUUCUUCUUUGAUUGAGGUUCACUUAUAAAUUGGAUCGGGUGACAUGCCGCCACAAUGAUAUAUGAAAUGGGAGCGUGUUGAAUGCUUGAAACAAGAUAUAUAAAAUGAGAGUAGGUUGCACGCCUGCAACAAGAUAUAUAUGAAAUGAGAACGGGUUUCAACACCUGUAAUGAG